rnacentral:rRNA from 1 species
UUGAACUUUGACCUGACUUGUGCAGGAUAGGUGGGAGGCUUUGAAGCAGACACGCUAGUGUUUGUGGAGCCAAUCUUGAAAUACCACCCUGGUCAUGUCGGGGUUCUAACUCAGGUAUAACAAUACCGAGGACAAUGUAUGGUGGGUAGUUUGACUGGGGCGGUCUCCUCCCAAAGAGUAACGGAGGAGUGCGAAGGUAACCUCAGCGCGGUCGGAAAUCGCGCAGUGAGUGCAUAGGCAUAAGGUUGCUUGACUGCAAGACAAACAAGUCGAGCAGGUACGAAAGUAGGUCUAAGUGAUCCGGUGGUUCUGUAUGGAAGGGCCAUCGCUCAACGGAUAAAAGGUACUCCGGGGAUAACAGGCUGAUACCGCCCAAGAGUUCACAUCGACGGCGGUGUUUGGCACCUCGAUGUCGGCUCAUCACAUCCUGGG